ACCGAGUAGAAGCACCUGCGUGGUGUCCACACAGAUUGUCUGAUGAUAAGAAAGAGUCAAAAGCGUCUUGCGAAGCUGACAAGUGAUGUCCCCUUCGUCUAGAGGCCCAGGACACCGCCCUUUCACGGCGGUAACAGGGGUUCGAAUCCCCUAGGGGACGCCAAUAUGACUGACGGUGGGUGAAAGGCACGGUCAACGCUAACCUAAAACUGAUUAGAGAUAGUCAGGUUUAUGUUAUCUGCUCUUUAACAAUCCGGAACAAGCUGAAUAAUUUGAAACGACGGCAUGUGAAUGCGAAUUCAUGUGUUGUUCGAGUCUC
rnacentral:misc_RNA from 1 species